GGUUCCAUAGUGGUUAUCACAUCUGCUUUACAUGCAGGAGGCUCUGGGUUUGAAUCCCAAUGGAACCA